CAGAGANCUUAUCAUGACAUCUUCNUGAUGCCUUCGGGAACUCUGAGACCGGUGCUGCNUGGCUGUCGUCAGACUCGUGUUGUGAAAUGUUGGGUUAAGUCCGCAAGGAGCCGGCAACCCUUAUCCUUUGUUGCCAGCGGUUCGGCCGGGAACUCAAAGGAGACUGCCAGUGAUAAACUGGAGGAAGGUGGGGAUGACGUCAAGUCAUCAUGGCCCUUACGAGUAGGGCUACACACGUGCUACAAUGGCAUAUACAAAGAGAAGCGACCUCGCGAGAGCAAGCGGACCUCAUAAAGUAUGUCGUAGUCCGGAUCGGAGUCUGCAACUCGACUCCGUGAAGUCGGAAUCGCUAGUAAUCGUGGAUCAGAAUGCCACGGUGAAUACGUUCCCGGGUCUUGUAC
rnacentral:rRNA from 1 species